rnacentral:rRNA from 1 species
GAUUAACGCUGGCGGCGUGCCUAACACAUGCAAGUCGAACGAGGUAGCAAUACCUAGUGGCAGACGGGUGAGUAACGCGUGGUCAACCUACCGUUGAGUGGGGGGAUAACUAGACCGAAAGGUUAGCUAAUACCGCAUACGUCUCCGGAGGGGCAUCCCUUGGCGAAUAAAAGGAGCAAUCCGCUCGAUGGACGGGACCGCGUCCCAUUAGCUAGAUGGGUGGGGUAACGGCCUACCAUGGCACCGANGGGUAGCUGGUUUGAGAGAGCGACCAGCCACACUGGGACU